GCUGAUGCGUUGUUGGGUAGGGGAGCGUUCUGUAAGCCUGUGAAGGUGUGCUGUGAGGCAUGCUGGAGGUAUCAGAAGUGCGAAUGCUGACAUAAGUAACGAUAAAGCGGGUGAAAAGCCCGCUCGCCGGAAGACCAAGGGUUCCUGUCCAACGUUAAUCGGGGCAGGGUGAGUCGACCCCUAAGGCGAGGCCGAAAGGCGUAGUCGAUGGGAAACAGGUUAAUAUUCCUGUACUUGGUGUUACUGCGAAGGGGGGACGGAGAAGGCUAUGUUGGCCGGGCGACGGUUGUCCCGGUUUAAGCGUGUAGGCUGGUUUUCCAGGCAAAUCCGGAAAACUAAGGCUGAGGCGUGAUGACGAGGCACUACGGUGCUGAAGCAACAAAUGCCCUGCUUCCAGGAAAAGCCUCUAAGCAUCAGGUAACAUCAAAUCGUACCCCAAACCGACACAGGUGGUCAGGUAGAGAAUACCAAGGCGCUUGAGAGAACUCGGGUGAAGGAACUAGGCAAAAUGGUGCCGUAACUUCGGGAGAAGGCACGCUGAUAUGUAGGUGAAGCGACUUGCUCGUGGAGCUGAAAUCAGUCGAAGAUACCAGCUGGCUGCAACUGUUUAUUAAAAACACAGCACUGUGCAAACACGAAAGUGGACGUAUACGGUGUGACGCCUGCCCGGUGCCGGAAGGUUAAUUGAUGGGGUCAGCGCAAGCGAAGCUCUUGAUCGAAGCCCCGGUAAACGGCGGCCGUAACUAUAACGGUCCUAAGGUAGCGAAAUUCCUUGUCGGGUAAGUUCCGACCUGCACGAAUGGCGUAAUGAUGGCCAGGCUGUCUCCACCCGAGACUCAGUGAAAUUGAACUCGCUGUGAAGAUGCAGUGUACCCGCGGCAAGACGGAAAGACCCCGUGAACCUUUACUAUAGCUUGACACUGAACAUUGAGCCUUGAUGUGUAGGAUAGGUGGGAGGCUUUGAAGUGUGGACGCCAGUCUGCAUGGAGCCGACCUUGAAAUACCACCCUUUAAUGUUUGAUGUUCUAACGUUGACCCGUGAUCCGGGUUGCGGACAGUGUCUGGUGGGUAGUUUGACUGGGGCGGUCUCCUCCUAAAGAGUAACGGAGGAGCACGAAGGUUGGCUAAUCCUGGUCGGACAUCAGGAGGUUAGUGCAAUGGCAUAAGCCAGCUUGACUGCGAGCGUGACGGCGCGAGCAGGUGCGAAAGCAGGUCAUAGUGAUCCGGUGGUUCUGAAUGGAAGGGCCAUCGCUCAACGGAUAAAAGGUACUCCGGGGAUAACAGGCUGAUACCGCCCAAGAGUUCAUAUCGACGGCGGUGUUUGGCACCUCGAUGUCGGCUCAUCACAUCCUGGGGCUGAAGUAGGUCCCAAGGGUAUGGCUGUUCGCCAUUUAAAGUGGUACGCGAGCUGGGUUUAGAACGUCGUGAGACAGUUCGGUCCCUAUCUGCCGUGGGCGCUGGAGAACUGAGGGGGGCUGCUCCUAGUACGAGAGGACCGGAGUGGACGCAUCACUGGUGUUCGGGUUGUCAUGCCAAUGGCACUGCCCGGUAGCUAAAUGCGGAAGAGAUAAGUGCUGAAAGCAUCUAAGCACGAAACUUGCCCCGAGAUGAGUUCUCCCUGACUCCUUGAGAGUCCUGAAGGAACGUUGAAGACGACGACGUUGAUAGGCCGGGUGUGUAAGCGCAGCGAUGCGUUGAGCUAACCGGUACUAAUGAACCGUGAG
rnacentral:rRNA from 1 species